rnacentral:misc_RNA from 1 species
UGGCUCUCGCAUCGAUGAAGAACGCAGCGAAAUGCGAUAAGUAAUGUGAAUUGCAGAAUUCAGUGAAUCAUCGAAUCUUUGAACGCACCUUGCGCUCUUUGGUAUUCCGAGGAGCAUGCCUGUUUGAGUGUCAUGAAAUUCUCAACCUUUCACGUUUGUAAAUGAGCGGGUUAGGCUUGGAUUCCGGAAGCUGCUGGUUUAACCGAAUCGGCUCUUCUUAAAUGUAUUAGCAGUCCUAUACUGUGACUAUCAUUGGUAUGAUAAUUAUCUAUAUCAUUGAUGAGCAGUCUCCCUCGUGGAAUGGCUCUGCUUCCAAUCGUCUUAACGGACAAUUCUUGACAACUUUGACCUCAAAUCAGGUAGGAUUACCCGCUGA